rnacentral:rRNA from 1 species
GAUGAACGCUAGCGGCAGGCCUAAUACAUGCAAGUCGAACGGGAUCCAGAUCACAGCUUGCUUUGGUCUGGUGAGAGUGGCGCACGGGUGCGUAACGCGUGAGCAACCUACCCUUGUCAGGGGGAUAGCCCGGCGAAAGUCGGAUUAAUACCGCAUGACAUCAUUGAGAGGCAUCUUUCGAUGAUCAAGGAUUUAUCGGACAAGGAUGGGCUCGCGUGACAUUAGCUCGUUGGUAAGGUAACGGCGUAUCAAGGCUGCGAUGUCUAGGGGCUCUGAGAGGGGACUCCCCCACACUGGUACCGCGACCCGGACCAGUCUGCUACGGGACGCAGCAGUACGGAAUGUUGGUCGCGGGACGGUAGUCUGAACCAGCCAUGCCGCGUGCAGGAGGACGGCGCUCUGGGUUGUAAGCUGCUUUUAUACGGGAACAAUCGUCGGUACGUGUACCGGUCUGACUGUACCGUAAGAAUAAGCAUCGGCUAACUACGUG